GUGAAAGUUGUAAACUACUAAAGCAGCAAAUAGAACAUUUAAUCUUUGUAUUUUUAUAGCAAAUUCAUGUCCUAUCUGAGACUGGAGGCUCCUCAAAUGAGAUCCUGGGACAUGUGAUAAGAAAAUGUGGAGAGAUAUUGUGUAUCUCCUGAGAGAGGCACAAAGCUCUUACAGCCUAGUGGCAAUUUUGCCUGAGUCAGCUGCUCCAGGUCCCUGUAUAGAGUGAGAAGAACUUAAUAAUGGUCAUGAACGUUAAGGCAGUUGGUCUCUUUUCAUCUCUACCCUGUGCACUCUUGUUACACUCCAAGUCCUGGUACUGGGAAAGGAAGAAUUCACUGUAUCUAUGGAGCUAAGGAUUUAUUCUUAAUCCAGUUCUGUUGCAGCUCUCUGCCCUGAUGCUGUGAACAGUUGCUCUUACAGUGCUUGUGGACCCAAUUUGUCUCUUCUGUGAUCUCUACCAGCUCUGGAAAAGCCUUGUAGGGUGACGUAGCCCACUCAGGUUUUUUCAUGUCUUCUGCCAAAUUAUUUUUGCCUGUAUAUUUUGCCUUCAUUUGUACUUGGCUGAGUUCAUGAUUUGACAGACUUUGGUUUUUUGAGUAAUACCCUGACUUUUUGGUCUCAAAAGAAAACUAUAGGUUAGCAUUUUAUUGCAUUUAUUUUAAUAAUUCCUACAUAUAAACAUUUUCUUUGUGUAAUAAACUUAAAUGACAGGCCUUUUUUCUUUUCGGUCACUGGUGGUUUUUUGCUUUAAGCAUUCUGUACAUUCUGGUUAAAACAAGCAAACAAAACUCAGAGCUUACCCAGCCUUUCUGGUACAACUGCAUCUAUGAAUAUUUAGUCCCAAAUAAAAUAUAAUUGCUUUUCUCUACCGUUCCUUAGCUUGUGUAUUUAAUUCCAGAAUGAGCAAUAUCCUUUUCUCUGAGGCCUUGUGUCUGUCUGGAAGUGUUGGUAAAAUGGUAACUAUAGGUUGAACUGCUGAGUUACUCCUGGGAGUGAAAGACAGACCCAGUUCCUCAGUCUCAAUGGUUUUAUACUGGUGUAACUGUUUACUGCACACAGCUGUAGUUGCAGUAGCAAGCUGCAGAGCUCUGCAGUGUAUAGCAGACAAAAGUCCUGCUGUCAGGACGGGGAGUGGAAGAUGACAAGCAGGGUAUGGAAAGAAGCUAUAGCCAAGCUGAAAACAGGGUAUCUUUUUACAAUAUAAAACAGUUACCAAAAUGCCAGUUAAAAACUGUGCCACAAUUAUUGAACUAAGAAAUCAACCCCGUAUUCAGCAUACGUGUCAGUGUCUGUGAACGUUCUUGGCAGAGUGCAUUGACAGAAGUCAAAGCUUUCCACUGAAGUGAGGAGAGAGAAAACAAAGUGAUUUCUAAUCCCCAUACAGCUUUUAUGAUUU